UACGUAGGGUGCAAGCGUUGUCCGGAAUUAUUGGGCGUAAAGAGCUCGUAGGCGGUUUGUCGCGUCUGCUGUGAAAACCCGAGGCUCAACCUCGGGCCUGCAGUGGGUACGGGCAGACUAGAGUGCGGUAGGGGUGACUGGAAUUCCUGGUGUAGCGGUGGAAUGCGCAGAUAUCAGGAGGAACACCGAUGGCGAAGGCAGGUC
rnacentral:rRNA from 1 species